rnacentral:rRNA from 1 species
UACGGGGGGUGCAAACGUUGCUCGGAAUUAUUGGGCGUAAAGCGCGCGUAGGCGGCUACCUAAGUCGGAUGUGAAAGCCCCUGGCUCAACUGGGGAAGUGCACCCGAAACUGAGUAGCUAGAGUACGAAAGAGGGUCGCGGAAUUCCCGGUGUAGAGGUGAAAUUCGUAGAUAUCGGGAGGAACACCGGUGGCGAAGGCGGCGACCUGGGUCGAUACUGACGCUGAGGCGCGAAAGCGUGGGGAGCAAACAGG